CUUCCUUCCUUCCUUCCUUCCUUCCUUCCUUCCUUCCUUCCUUCCUUCCUUCCUUCCUUGUCUCCCUGCCAGCUUUUCAUUCUCCCUACACUCUCUGGAGUGGGGAAGCAGGGAAAAGCCUUACCCGCACAGGAAUUCAUCCGCUGCAUCCAGGGGUAAACAGGGCUUGUGUACUUCCGGUCGGUGCCUUCCUCAUGGAGGGCUUUGCCCUGCACGCUGCCGUCAGAAUUCCACACACGCAUCUAGCCCCUCUUCCAGGGCUCGAGAAAUCACUCUAACCAGAAAACCGGGCAAACGAAGCAGGCAACCAUCGGAGAACUCUGAAUUAGUCUCACCUUCAGACCGCGGCUCCCAGAAGCUUCUGCCUCUCUGACAGCUGUCGCUUCGGCAGCCCAAGAGACGAAUUGUCCUCCUUCCUGGUGCCAGAGGACGCAGGAAAUUAGCCAGGUUGCAAGUUGCAAAGCAGCGGCGGCUGCUCCAGGAACUGGACGCGCUCCACCUCCAGCGACAACGGCUGGCCUGGGCCUGGCAGCGGCUUCCCCUCGCUCGCCAUCGCCGGACAAAGCGCAGCCCAGGCAGGCUGGCAAGGCAGAGCUCCGAAGCACGCAGGAUGGAGCGGAGCAAAAGAAUGCGGCUCUAUUCUCGCAAGGGAAAUUAUAAAAAAGUUCAUGUUCACGGUUCCUAUCCACAUGACCGACAGCGGCCAAUGGAAGGGCCGAACAACUCAUAAAGUUGUAUUGCAAAGUUGUAAAUUUUCAUAAACAACAACGGAUUUAUGACCCUUUCCCCAUCACUAAGAGGAGGCGGCUCUUACACAGACGCCAUCUUACCACCGAGUCUGUCCCGAUUUGGGGCUGCAGGUUUUUCAGACCCUUUUAGGUCCGAUUUUAUUUAAAAAAAAAAAAAAAAAAAAAAGUCCUAAGAAACUGGCCCAGCCUAGUCAGGGGAUAAGAAUGGAGACCUUCGCGGGCCCAGCUCAGGAUGCUCUAAGCUACUUCCACCGCCUCUCGCCCCUGGUCUCUCACCGCUAGCCCCUUCCCCAGCCACAGUCCUUCCUCAGCAACAGGACUUGGACUUGGUUGCGCCGCAGGGUUUGAGGCCCAUGUCGUCCAAGAAUCCCUCAGCUGCAGUGUUGGACCCUGGGGCAUCCUCACCCUUUCUGAAGGCUAAGUGGGGGUACUGCAGCAGGGACCCUGAAUUCCAUGUCUUUCCUACCCCUGGACUGUACUCAGGACGCAUGUGGAAUCCGGGAUCAAUUGGAGGGUAGGUAAUACCCUUUUAGAGCUCAGUCUACACCUUUAGAGGAAAGUUGAAUUUGGAAUUCGUUCAUGGAAUUUAUGAAAGUUUGAGAGGCCGUAGAUAGAAUAUGUAGCAUUAACAAAUAGUCUUUUUUCAAUGGAUCUAAAUAGAUAUUGGUGCACAUACAAUAGCCAGACAAAAACCAUCUACAAAGAGGAAGGCAUAUAUACAAUUAUAGUCACAGAAAAACACAGAAACCCACACACACAAUUAUAGACAUGAGAAAUGUUGAUGCACACGCAUGUGUGUGGGAAUGCAUACAAUUAUAACUAUAAGCAAGCACACAGAGAAAUAGAAAUGUGCUUAAGUACACAUAAAAACAUGUGAAAAGAGACAUGAUACAUUUGUCCAUGAAUAGCUAAAAUUUGGACUCAGGGACAGUGGCUCUGCAUUUGUUUCCCGUGUCUCUUUGGCCUACAGCCAGGGCUGGUCCUUCAGCUAUGGCCACUUCCCCUUGCACAAGACCCUCUGGAUAAAGCAGUCCGUGUUUCUUUGUCACCAAGCAUCUUUAUUGUUACAUAAAACACAGGUAGCUGGGCUGGGAAGCGUGCCUUCUCUGAACCCCAGGCUGG
rnacentral:lncRNA from 1 species